UGAUACGUAGGCACCAAGCGUUGUCCGGAUUUAUUGGGCGUAAAGAGCUCGUAGGCGGUUCGGUAAGUCGGGUGUGAAAACUCUGGGCUCAACCCAGAGAGGCCACCCGAUACUGCCGUGACUGGAGUGCGGUAGGGGAGUGGGGAAUUCCUGGUGUAGCGGUGAAAUGCGCAGAUAUCAGGAGGAACACCAGUGGCGAAGGCGCCACUCUGGGCCGUAACUGACGCUGAGGAGCGAAAGCGUGGGUAGCAAACAGGAUUAGAUACCCUGGUAGUCCACGCCGUAAACGUUGGGCACUAGGUGUGGGUCUCAACCAACGAGAUCCGCGCCGUCGCUAACGCAUUAAGUGCCCCGCCUGGGGAGUACGGCCGCAAGGCUA
rnacentral:rRNA from 1 species